rnacentral:rRNA from 1 species
GACAGAGGGUGCAAACGUUGCUCGGAUUUACUGGGCGUAAAGCGCGUGUAGGCGGAUGGGUAAGUCAGAUGUGAAAUCCCUGGGCUCAACCUAGGAACUGCACCUGAAACUGCCCAUCUGGAGUAGUGGAGAGGAGAGCGGAAUUCCUGGUGUAGAGGUGAAAUUCGUAGAUAUCAGGAGGAACACCGGUGGCGAAGGCGGCUCUCUGGACACUUACUGACGCUGAGACGCGAAAGCGUGGGUAGCAAACAGG